GUGUGCGUGUGUAUAUACGAUCGAUCAGGGGCAGAGGGUGAGGUGAAACCCUAGUUUCACCAAAAUCCAUCAAAUUGAAGGGGGAUUGAAGGGCUAAACUAAUGCAUGAACCAAGAUUGUCGAUCACUUUAGUGUUUCUACCAUCAUGAUCAUGUUUAAAGGGGAAAGCAUGGAAGGCAAACGGAAAAGGGAUGAGGAAGCAUGUAUGAAACGGACACUCGAGAUAUGUAGGUGCGUAUGAUCAGGCGUAUGAAUAUAUGAAUGCACGAAGUAGGAUUUAUCGUCUAUGAAAAGAAUGGGACAGGAAUGAGAACGUCAGACUCUUGUAGAAUUGAAGCCGAACCUUGAAGCCGAACUCGGAACAAAGGAAUCCGAGAGGAUAGUCGAAUGAAUCAAAGUUUAUGUUGUCGAAUGUUAUAUGAUUUUUAAUUUGUAUCAGAUUAUUGUUGUAUGACGUUGUCAAUGACUAAUGGUUAAGUUGUAUGUGGUGUCCACAGGUACUACACGGAUUUCUUCUACCACUAUCGAAGAUAAGCGGGCAUAGAUCGAGUCGAAUAACAAGGGUUGUACGGAAAGAACGGUUACGUGGUCUUAAUUUUGUAACACAUUAAUUUUAAAAUUAAAAAGGGAAGUGAAUUUUGUAAGCUUCUUCUUGAAUGUGUGUAUUGUUAUAAGACCGUAAAGAAAUUUUUA
rnacentral:lncRNA from 1 species